rnacentral:rRNA from 1 species
UGAAGUUAAAGGCUGUGGNUUAACCAUAGUAUGCUUUGGAAACUGUUUAACUUGAGUGCAGAAGGGGAGAGUGGAAUUCCAUGUGUAGCGGUGAAAUGCGUAGAUAUAUGGAGGAACACCGGUGGCGAAAGCGGCUCUCUGGUCUGUAACUGACGCUGAGGCUCGAAAGCGUGNGGAGCAAACAGGAUUAGAUACCCUGGUAGUNCACGCCGUAAACGAUGAGUGCUAGGUGUUAGGCCCUUUCCGGGGCUUAGUGCCGCAGCUAACGCAUUAAGCACUCCGCCUGGGGAGUACGACCGCAAGGUUGAAACUCAAAGGAAUUGACGGGGGCCCGCACAAGCGGUGGAGCAUGUAGUUUAAUUCGAAGCAACGCGAAGAACCUUACCAGGUCUUGACAUCCCUCUGACCGCUCUAGAGAUAGAGUUUUCCUUCGGGACAGAGGUGACAGGUGGUGCAUGGUUGUCGUCAGCUCGUGUCGUGAGAUGUUGGGUUAAGUCCCGCAACGAGCGCAACCCCUAUUGUUAGUUGCCAUCAUUGAGUUGGGCACUCUAGCGAGACUGCCGGUAAUAAACCGGAGGAAGGUGGGGAUGACGUCAAAUCAUCAUGCCCCUUAUGACCUGGGCUACACACGUGCUACAAUGGCUGGUACAACGAGUCGCAAGCCGGUGACGGCAAGCUAAUCUCUGAAAGCCAGUCUCAGUUCGGAUUGUAGGCUGCAACUCGCCUACAUGAAGUCGGAAUCGCUAGUAAUCGCGGAUCAGCACGCCGCGGUGAAUACGUUCCCGGGCCUUGUACACACCGCCCGUCACACCACGAGAGUUUGUAACACCCGAAGUC